CCUACGGGGGGCAGCAGUGAGGAAUAUUGGUCAAUGGCCGGAAGGCUGAACCAGCCAAGCCGCGUGAAGGACGCAGGUGCCAAGCAUUGUAAACUUCUUUUGUCAAGGGACAAAAUCAGGCUCGAGAGCCUGACCGAGGGGACUUGAAGAAAAAGCAUCGGCUAACUCCGUGCCAGCAGCCGCGGUAAUACGGAGGAAGCGAGCGUUAUCCGGAUUUAUUGGGUUUAAAGGGUGCGUAGGCGGACUGUUAAGUCAGUGGUAAAAGCCCGGGGCCCAACCCCGGCGAGCAGUUGAGACUGGCUGUCUUGAGAUGUCGAGAGGUAUGCGGAAUGCGUAGUGUAGCGGUGAAAUGCUUAGAUAUUGCGAAGAACCCCGAUUGCGAAGGCAGCAUACCGGC
rnacentral:rRNA from 1 species